rnacentral:rRNA from 1 species
GAUGAACGCUGGCGGCGUGCCUAAUACAUGCAAGUCGAGCGAACGGACGAGAAGCUUGCUUCUCUGAUGUUAGCGGCGGACGGGUGAGUAACACGUGGAUAACCUACCUAUAAGACUGGGAUAACUUCGGGAAACCGGAGCUAAUACCGGAUGAUAUUUUGAACCGCAUGGUUCAAAAGUGAAAGACGGUCUUGCUGUCACUUAUAGAUGGAUCCGCGCUGCAUUAGCUAGUUGGUAAGGUAACGGCUUACCAAGGCAACGAUGCCUAGACGACCUGAGAGGCUGAUAGGCCACACUGGAACUGAGACACGGUCCAGACUCCUACGGGAGGCAGCAGUAGGGAAUCUUCGGCAAUGGGCGAAAGCCUGACGGAGCAACGCCGCGUGAGUGAUGAAGGUCUUCGGAUCGUAAAACUCUGUUAUUAGUGAAGAACAUAUGUGGAAGUAACUGUGCACAUCGUGACGGUACCUAAUCAGAAAGCCACGGCUAACUACGUG